ensembl:lncRNA
GAAUGCACCAAUGACGUUAGUUUGAUUUUUCAUUGUAUUAGGUUUGGAUUUGAAGAAGCUUUUGAAGACGUUUCCUGAUGCCGGAGGAGAAGACGAGCAGCUUUGGACCUUUGCGGAGUGAAAGUAGCAGUUCCUCCUGAAGGUCAGAGAUUGCAGCAUCUGAGGGCCUCUUCAAAAGAAGACGUAGUUGAUGAAGGUGUUCUGGAGCAGGACCAGAAAGACCACGACCAAGCAGCCUUGAGAUCUUAGGCAGCGUCUCCCUGAGGUCCCUCUCUAUCUCCCCACACAUCCACCAACCACUGGAACACAUCUCCAAAGUUCUGCUGGACCAGCUCAGCUUCCCCUCAGAAGAAGUGCUGCCACCUGCCAGAUGAAGGAGCCUUUUGAGAGGCAGCUGGCAUCGUGAUUGGACUGUACUUUGGUCUGUUCCAAUCCAGCUUCAGCUCCAGAGACGGCAGGCGGGACGAGUCAACGGAGGCCUGGUGAACGAAGGCAUGCAGCUGAGUACGAUCCAGAAAACAACAGAGGAGGAGUGCAGCAGCCCAGAGCCAG